GCCCUGUUAGCUCAGUGGUAGAGCGUGUGACUUUUACGCUCUAUGCUUCAGUAUGCAGCGUGGCAAUCACAGGGCCGCGGGUUCGACCCCCGCAUUGGGCU